rnacentral:rRNA from 1 species
GACGAACGCUGGCGGCGUGCUUAACACAUGCAAGUCGAACGGAAAGGCCCUUCUUUUGUGGGGUGCUCGAGUGUCGAACGGGUGAGUAUCACGUUAGUAACCUGCCCUCGACUUUGGGCUAACUUCAGUAAACUGUGGCUAAUACCGGAUAGGAGCUCCUGCUGCAUGGUGGGGGUUGGAAAGUUUCGGCGGUUGGGGAUGGACUCUCGGCUUAUCAGCCUGUUGUUGGUGUAGUGUCUUACCAAGGCUUUGACGGGUAGCCGGCCUGAGAGGGUGACCGGCCACAUUGGGACUGAGAUACGGCCGAGACUACUACGGGAGGCAGCAGUGGGGAGUAAUGCACAGUGGGCGGAGGACUGAUGCAGCAACACCGCGUGCUGGAUGAAGAACGUCGGGGUGUAAACCGCUUUCGCCUGUGAAGAAGAGUGAGUGACGGUAAUGGGUAAAGAAGCACCGGCUAACUACGUG